rnacentral:rRNA from 1 species
AGCAACCUGCCCCCUACUUCGGGAUAAGCCUUGGAAACGGGGUCUAAUACCGGAUAUGAAUGCCUGCCGCAUGGUGGGUGUUGGAAAGUUUUUCGGUGGGGGAUGGGCUCGCGGCCUAUCAGCUUGUUGGUGGGGUAAUGGCCUACCAAGGCGUCGACGGGUAGCCGGCCUGAGAGGGCGACCGGCCACACUGGGACUGAGACACGGCCCAGACUCCUACGGGAGGCAGCAGUGGGGAACAUUGCACAAUGGGCGAAAGCCUGAUGCAGCGACGCCACGUGAGGGAUGACGGCCUUCGGGUUGUAAACCUCUUUCAGCAGGGAAGAAGCGGUUGGGUUUUCUCAGUCGUGACGGUACCUGCAGAAGAAGCGCCGGCUAACUACGUGCCAGCAGCCGCGGUAAUACGUAGGGCGCAAGCGUUGUCCGGAAUUAUUGGGCGUAAAGAGCUCGUAGGCGGUCUGUCGCGUCUGUUUAAUACGACUCACUAUAGGGCGAAUUGAAUUUAGCGGCCGCGAAUUCGCCCUUGACUACUGGGGUAUCUAAUCCCAUUAUCACGCGUUACUCACCCGUCCGUGACUACUGGGGUAUCUAAUCCCAUUAGUCUCACGCGUUACCACCCGUCCGUGACUACUGGGGUAUCUAAUCCCAUUAUCACGCGUUACUCACCCGUCCG